GGAGGAGAAUCAAUAAUGUUAUUUCUACAUUUCAUUUUCUAUACUCAUUCUCUGCACCUUCCUUUUAUGUAUGAUAAAGGAAAAAAUAUAAAUUUUUCUAUUAUUUUGUCAUAAAAGUGAGGUGUAGAGUAAAAAUGUAGAAAAUGAACGGUAUAAAUAACAUUGAUGUUGAGA
rnacentral:pre_miRNA from 1 species